UGGCGGACGGGUGAGUAAUGUCUGGGAAACUGCCUGAUGGAGGGGGAUAACUACCGGAAACGGUAGCUAAUACCGCAUAACGUCGCAAGACCAAAGAGGGGGACCUUAGGGCCUCUUGCCAUCGGAUGUGCCCAGAUGGGAUUAGCUAGUAGGUGGGGUAACGGCUCACCUAGGCGACGAUCCCUAGCUGGUCUGAGAGGAUGACCAGCCACACUGGAACUGAGACACGGUCCAG
rnacentral:rRNA from 1 species